AUUGAACGCUGGCGGCAGGCCUAACACAUGCAAGUCGAACGAGUGGCGGACGGGUGAGUAAUGUCGGGGAAACUGCCGGAUGGAGGGGGAUAACUACUGGAAACGGUAGCUAAUACCGCAUACCAUCGGAUGAGCCCAGAUGGGAUUAGCUAGUAGGUGGGGUAAAGGCUCACCUAGGCGACGAUCCCUAGCUGGUAUGAGAGGAUGACCACCCCGACUGGAACUGAUACACGGUCCCGACCCCUACGGGAGGCAGCAGUGGGGAAUAUUGCACAAUGGGCUCAAGCCUGAUGCAGCCAUGCCGCGUGUAUGAAGAAGGCCUUCGGGUUGUAAAGUACUUUCAGCGGGGAGGCGUUACCCGCAGAAGAAGCACCGGCUAACUCCGUGCCAGCAGCCGCGGUAAUAC
rnacentral:rRNA from 1 species